UUAGAGUUUACAAAUUAUUACAAGACAAUAAUAGAAAUUAAAUAACAUAUAAAACCCAAAUUAAACAAAUUUAGCUUGUCUAAUGUUUUCCUUCAAUGGCAACUCUUCAAUAUCUUGAACUUUGAGUUCAAAACCUGUUAACAUGUAACAAAAAUAGAAGCAAGUAAUGAUAACUAAUUUGAUAUAGCAAAAGUGGUAGAACUCCUGGGCACACGCAUAAUAUUAACUAAUUCAUAUACACAAGCAGCGUAUGGACAUGUAAGAAUUCCAACAAGUCGUGGAGAAUAUGUAAUCACAUAUUGAGAAAGAAAGGGAUAAGGGAACUAAACUGGAUGCUUCCUCUAUUAUUUCAAGCAUACAUAAAAUAUGAACAAUGCAAAGAUUAAACUAGUGGAAGGAAACUAACCAAUUAUGCAGAAUUAUUUAUCAGCAAUGAAGAUCAGAUAAUGUACCCGAACACAGCAAAACAGCAACACAGAGAGGAACCUUUAUGUUUACCGGAAAACUUAUUUUUUAAAAGUAGAGAGCAAUGUAUUUUUAGUAUUCUUUUUUUUUUAGUCUAAGCCAAGUGUAAGAGUUGUCUUCUCCCUCAAAGAGUGAAGCAAAGACCUUGUUUUAUAGCAGAGGAGAGGUCGUGAUUUUAAAGGAAAAGAAUCAAUUAGGAGCAAUUAUGGAGAAAAUAUUUCCUUACCAAGAGAAACAUAUCAAUCAAACAUUACCAAAUAUAAUCACAUAAAAUUAGUCCUAUUUAAUUAAGGUAAAUCAAUCAACAAUAGUCAGAAUGUAAAAUAGGCAAAGAGAAUGAUUUUAGACAAAUAAUUGAUAUAGUUAAACUAAUAGACAUAAGUUAUUUAAGGAAAGGGGAUUACAUUCAGAUUUAUGCUCGCAUUUUAAAAUAAUUUAGCACAAUCAUAUAAAUCACAAAUUGGCACAGAAUAUAUUUAUGGUAAGACUUAUGAGCAAAGAAGAAUUAAUUCACGGAUUCAAUCACCAUAGUAAUCUUGCUCAAAUUUACUAAUAAGAGUCAAUUAGCAUGCUAAAAUUACCAUAAGUAAUGGAAUGCCUGCUGUUAAAAUCUGACUUCAUAUAAGCAAAUAUAUCGAUUAUUCCAAGAAUCAAACUUUUAUUAUUGAGCCGAAUUAACAAAGUCAUUCCACAUCCUUUAAAGAUUAUAUAUUAUAUCUAGAUUUGGCAGACAUAAUCAAGGACAAACAUGCUAGUAUUACUAAUACCCAUAAUACUAAAGCAAAAUGCAAGAUUUAUGCUCAUAUGGCUAAGCAAGACAAAUAAGUAAUAAACACAAACCAACAUAUAAUCACAAUACGAAAUCAAGCACUUAUUGGGUUAACGGGGCAAUAAUAAUAAACGAAAUCAAGCCGAUCAUGUAAGACUCGAAUUCUCAAAACAUCCAUAUCACAAUAGCCAAAGAUGUAAUGAAAAGCUUAAAACAUUUAGAUUAAAACUUACUAGGACGGAUCUGUUGAGAUCCGUCUUCGAACUCAAACUUCGCCGGAGACGAGAGGAAUGGAUACUCGAGGGUCUAGCUGUUUUUGUUGUUUGUUGUUGCUGUUAGCCAGAGCAGUUGAUCAGAGCACUGGAGCUGCUGGUUUUCGUGGUGGCUGCUGCUGCUGAUUUUCGUGGUGGCUGCUGCUGCUGCCAGUGUUGCUGGCUGCUGCUGCCAGUGUUGCUGGCUGUUGCUGGUGGCGCUGGUUUCUGCCGGUGUUGCUGCUUCUCUCGUCUGGUCGCUCGCCGGAGAUGGAGGCUGCUGGAGCUGCGAGAGGGGAGAAAGGAGAAGAGACGAGGGGGGGAGAGAGAGAGGGCGCCGGAGAGGGGAGGAUCUGCCUCCGAUGGCUUUCGCCGGAAAAAAUGGCGAGGUGGAGGGAUGGCGGCUGCUGGAUCUUUAAGUGAGAGGAGGAAAAGUGAAUAAACUUUAGGGUUAGUCUUUUAGGAUUUAAAAUAGGAAAGAUGAGAGGAAUCGAUCUUGUCCGUUGAUUUAAUUAUAGAUGAAGGGCCAGGAUUUAAACGGAAUGAGAUGAAUGGUCAGGAUUUAGAAGAGGGGUUUUAAAUCAGAUUUGAUUG
rnacentral:lncRNA from 1 species